rnacentral:rRNA from 1 species
AGUGGACGCUGGCGGUAGGCCUAACACAUGCAAGUCGAACGGCAGCACAGUAAGAGCUUGCUCUUACGGGUGGCGAGUGGCGGACGGGUGAGGAAUACAUCGGAAUCUACUUUUUCGUGGGGGAUAACGUAGGGAAACUUACGCUAAUACCGCAUACGACCUACGGGUGAAAGCAGGGGAUCUUCGGACCUUGCGCGAUUGAAUGAGCCGAUGUCGGAUUAGCUAGUUGGCGGGGUAAAGGCCCACCAAGGCGACGAUCCGUAGCUGGUCUGAGAGGAUGAUCAGCCACACUGGAACUUGGACACGGUCCAGACUCCUACGGGAGGCAGCAGUGGGGAAUAUUGGACAAUGGGCGCAAGCCUGAUCCAGCCAUCCCGCGUGGGUGAAGAAGGCCUUCGGGUUGUAAAGCCCUUUUGUUGGGAAAGAAAAGCAGCAGGUUAAUACCCCGCUGUUCUGACGGUACCCAAAGAAUAAGCACCGGCUAACUUCGUG